UGCACUCAUGCACAAACAGGAACAGACACACGCACACAGAUCGGAUGCACUAGUAGACACAAAUCAGUGUGUCAACACGUGUGUGGAUGAAAACACUGAAUGUUUGCGCAACAAUGUUUGGCUGAAUAUUAGACUGGUGUUUGAUUUUUUUCUCUCUGCACCGGAUAAAAUCGUAUUUAUGUUUAUUUAAAUUUUAUAUAUUGAUGGUCAGGUUUUUUAGUGUUUUGAGGAAAGCUGGAAUUUGUACGUAAAAGGGAAGCCAAGGCACCAGUGGGGUGGAUUGCAGGAACCCAAAGAACUACAGGGCCUGUGCCCACAACCUGCCACGACAGGAAAGUAGUCUUGUGGGUCGCAAAUGAGGUGACUAGAGGGUUGUCUGUGUCGGCCGCAGCAGCAGACUUGCUUGUUAACAGACUGUCCAGCUAAAGAAGCAGACUUGUGGGUACAAAACACAGACCGGUUUUUAUAUGUCAUGUCAAUUAUGUCAGUUUGACAUCUGUUUGAUCUGGGAUGCUCUCUUCAAUGAUGAAGAGCUACUGACCUUGACUUGGCAUAUUGUUUUGUGAGAAAAGAACCACUUUGAGCAACUUCUAAACCUAAGCGACAUGUACAUGGUUAGAGUGACUGAGGACUCGGGAAUGCCUUGCCCAUCAAUCUGGCAGAGGACACUAAUAAACUUAAAAAAGCACUUCAGAGGCAAGGCACGAGGGAUGGAUGGCUUUUGCCCUGAAGUGCUGGGGGUUCUGAAUAUUUUUGAAUGUCAUGAGUUGUCAGAUCCAAUUUUAAAAACGGAACAGAGUGUGUGCUCCAGUUAUUGGAAUAUCACACUUCUGUGCCUUCCUGGGAAAUCUUCAUGUUGGAAAUUAGGUUGCAGCUGACUGGAGCCUCAGAUCCAGCAGGAGUGAUGCUGUUUCAGUCGUGGUUGUUAAACAAUAGACAAGCUCUUUACACUUGCAAGGAUCCUAAAAGGGUCAGCAAGGUGGUGGCUCAUCUCCAAAGACAAAAUCUUAAGGAAUUAAGUUUUCACUUUGGUCAUGUCAGGAUUGUCAGGACCAAGUAGCUGAGUCCACCUCCAAGUCUCAGACAAACAUAUUCACAAAAUGUAGACCAACCAGGCCAUCACGUUUCCUUGUCCAGAAGAGGAAAAUAUCAGAGACCAAAAUGACGUACUUUUGGACAUGCAUAAAGUUCAAGAUACACAUAGAUUAAUAUCAGCUUUUAGGUGCAAGUCGCAGAGUCGCUCUGAUCGUUCGUGUCACACUUCUGUUAUAUCUGCUAGCUGUAUUUUGCUGGAAUUCUCUAAAAUCAGUGGCCAUUUUUGCUGCCAAAAAAACAAACUUUGAUGCCAACACUCAUCAUCUCAGGGUAUGAAUUGAAAGAAUGUGAGAAGAGUUAAUACCCAGACAUACGAAAAGAAGCUCAGGAUCACUGCUUCGACUGUGAAGGACACCUAUUGAGGCAGUUAUGAUGCCUUCUUGACCCUAAAAAUAAGUCGAACAUCUCGGCUAGGAAGAAGGACCUGUGGACAUUCUUGUUUAUCCUGCUGGAACCAUGACCUGGAUCUGAAUGUGGGAAAAAAACGGAUUACCGUGGUCCCUCAGGACCAGAUUAAGUUUUAUGACCCUGGGAAACCCGUACAUAAUUCUUCAUACAGAAUCAAAAACCUUUGUCCUCCUCUGGAAACUAAGACCUCCUUGUAAGAGUUUAAUUAGUAGGAUUUCUGGAAUGGAAUGUUUAAUAGCAUACACUGUUUAACUUGAAAGGCUGAGAUAUUUUUGCCCUGUUAGGUUCUUCUAAUUAUUCUGUCGCCAUGGCAGCACGCAGUUGAUGUCUGUGGAACAACGAGCAGCAUAAAUGUUCCAACAAACAUCCAAAACACUUGGUGGUGGAAUAUGGGUGUUUUUCCUCAAGACUCUCCCCUGACAUGAGACAGAGGGAAGUGGAGGGAGAGACAGAAAAUGAGUGGGCGUGGGGUUGGGUCUGGUCCUGCCAAGCUGUGGGAAAAUCCCACGUACUUUCUCCCCGACUCCUACUCACAGCACACAGAUGGAGGAGGGGAGGAGAGCAGAGGCAAGGGGGCAGGAGGUGUACGGCGGGGUGGGGGGAGUGUAGAUAAGAGAAACAGCGGAGGGAGAAAAGACAAGGAGAAAAUAAUGGAGGAAGGAAAGCAGAGGCUAGCUCAAAGAAAGAUCAUAAUUCCCCUUCUCUCAAACCUUUUUUCCUUUUUCUCUCCCUUGCUAACAGUCUUCACCUCCUUCCCCAUCUUUCUCUAGCUCUUCCCUCCCUCUCUAUUCACCCCCCUCUCCACGAUGAAGUGUGUUGAAGCGUCUGGCGUGGGUCCCUCUCUCUUCAAUCAGAAGAUGGAGAGAUUGUUUUGAUUGCUCAGCCCACUAGCGCCAGAAGUCUCAGCGCCUGUUUCCUGUACACAGAUUAGCUAUUCUGAAAACUACUGCACUUGGAGGACGUCCCUUUAAGUUUUUUUGUUUUUUUUUCUUUCCAAUUCCAGGAAGGGACAGAAGUUCUUGUCCCGCUUGUGAAAGCAUGUUAUUACUUAUUUCAUGCGGGAACCCACUAGAAACAAGCCUGAGGCUCAUUUCACGUCUAUAUUACGUAUUUUAAGAAGCACUGGCCUGUAAUAAUGAUAACUCUUAAUGUGAAAAUCAGGGGUUCAAAGGGUUCUUAAGAGAAGUUUAGAAGUCAGACUCACUGUAGGUUUGUGAUUUUUAAACUGAUGUAAAUUGAUGAUAUAGUACACCAUGUGUAGGCAUGGAUUUCAGUGGGCUUAAAUUACUUCAUUUGCAUAAAAGAAUAUUCUUUCAUUGUUGUUGUUUUCCCUAAAGCAUGGUACCGAAUUCAUUACAGCCUGUGUGUAUCUGUGUGUGCUUUUUGUCCGUUCAAGCGUGUGUAACCAUUCUAAACUAUAAUCUACGUCACCAGAUCGCAGUACUGUGUACUUAUGGCCUAUUUUGGGCUAGUUUGUAACCUGAGAACUGCUUUUUACGCGGCCACCACAGGGUUUUGGGGGAGUUCAAGUUCGGUAAAAGUUUAGACUCACUGAAAGCUGAGCGUGCGCAUGUCCGUGUGCGCAUGUGUGUGUGUGUCUGUGUGUGAGCAUGCAAGAGCGUGAAUGGCUUCUUUGUGUGAGAUCAGUCCUGUUGGGAUUUCAUACUCUGGUAGAAGCAUGGCAGGGUGGAAAAUGUACUACAGAUCUGACGUCUGGAUAAAUAGUUACAUGAUUUCGAAAACCUUGUUGAACAGUUGUUUUUAUACACACCGUACUAUAUGUUAAGCCUCACGAGAUCAUUCAUGUUUGUGGCGAGGAAAAUCCAACAUGGCAAACCAUUUCUUAAAUAUUUAUGACAUGAUUUGUUUUUUCCAGCAUUUACUGUACAGUUUGGUAUUGCUAGUUUCACCCUUGUAGAUUUUAAGGCCUCAGUUUACUUCAAUGAACUGCUUUUCAGAUCUUCUAACAGCAAAUCUUUGUGACAAAUAUUAUAAAAGACUCUUAAUGAUUUGUAACAGUUUUGGAAAGAAUGAACUAUGAUGUUGUGCCAAUAGAGGCAUCACAACGAAAACUGCUUCUAGUGUAUGCGCUGUUCUAACGGCCCAGAUACAACAAACCUACAUCAAAGAACUAGCAGCGGUGAAGACUGUUGUGUUGCCUCACAGUGCCUGUUCUGUGCCUGCGUGAGAGGAAAUAACUCUCCAUACCACCAGGUGGCAGUAGUCUGUAUUCCUCAUUCAAAAAAUGGAAAUCGUAACACUCAGGCCUGCACUUCUAAUCAAGAAUAGAGCUAGUAAAAAGUUGUGAGAGGCUCUGGCAAAGAGCUUGAGGAGAAACCACGCUAAUUGGGCGUAAUCGUGGCUAUAAAAUCAACAGACUCAAUUGGCUUGCUUUUUCUUUUUGUGGUUCUUCUCAUGCACUGUUACGCUUAGCUGAACAGGUUGACCUAUCACUGAUGGGCUCAACCACUGAUUCAACAUGCUCAUUUGGCCAAAAAGCUGCUGACUAGUGCCAGCGGCGCAGGGUGGCCCGACAUUGGCCUAAUCGUCAAUAGUCAAUUUAGAGGACCUACCCACAUCAUGCCCACUUCACGCAGCAAUUGCCCAGGGAGGAGAUGUGGAAGUAGGAAGGGUUUGAACAUCUUUCUUAAAGGCAUAUAAUGCGAAAUUUGUUGGUUGCCAUUUUGUAAACACACCACUGAAAGGUGCAGUAAGACAUUUUGGAAAAAGUCAUACGCACAGUUGGCAAAAAACACCUUUUUUUUUUUAUAGGAAAAUCCUACUUUGCAUACCUUUUAAGCUUUCUUUUUUCAUUCAUUGUCACUUUUCAUGUGCUCAGCUAAGUAUGACAUUAUGAAUGCCUUUGACAAGAGGCAGUCUGGAAGUCUAUAAUUCAUUCUGUCAAGACUCCAAAGACACACAGUUCUUGGAGAGCGAUCAGAGGAUGUGAGUGUUAAGCAGCCAGGCUCCAUUUGGAGCAGAUAUAAACAUAUUUUCUAGGUAUAAACAAGUUGUAAGACCUUGCUUGUUUGAAAAAAAAUACUGAGGCCUUUAGCCCCAGAUUCCAUCCGGCCAUAACAGGGCUGCAUUACAGUCACUGCAGUUUUUUCAAAAUAAAACAUCGGUGCUGACUCCGUAUCUUGGUACGAGCAUCCAUAAUAGAAAUACCUGUUCCCCAAAUUUAAGUAGUGACCAGUGUACGUUAAGUUAACCCAGUCUGGCACAUACUGGCCGUUCCAUUCAGAUCAACUGUGUGGCCACAUUAGAUGUGUCGCCUGAACUGAACUCAGGUCUUUUACAUGGCUAUCAAAAACAUGUUAGAGCAGGUAACUGUAUCGUUGUGGAGAUCUGGGUUAGCAUGUCAGAACAGGGUAUUGUGUUAGCUGAUUAACCUUCCUGAAUGUAGCCUCAUUGUGAAGGGCUAGGUCGGACAGAUCAACACGCACGCACGCACGCACACUCACAGAGCUUGAAAGGAAAAGUGUGUCUGUACAGGACACUGUACCGCUCUUAUUUACGCCCACCCACUGUCUUUAGCUUGGCAGAUUCAAAAGUUAUAUAAAAUACCGUAUACAUCCAUAUAGGCACAUACAGUACAGGGACCAGGCUAAUCCAUAUUAUGUAAGAGCACAAAGGAGAUUGAUUUCUCCUCACAAAAAUUCUGUUGGAACAAUUUUUCCACCAUACUUGCCUUUUUCACUCGAUGUUAACGGAAGCUCGCGAUCAUUGUUAAUUCCUCCUAUUGAAUAUUGCUGUUGUCAUUUCCAGGAAGCAGUGCCUUUUGCUUGCGUGUAUAUAUGUGUGUCUGUUCCCACACGCAUUAAUCUGUCUAACUGUGAAUGCCCCACGCAGAGGAUGUGUGACUCUCUCAGUACAAAGGGUCUUUUUGCGGAGCUCCACUCCCUUCCACCUACUCCAACCAACGCUGCCACAUGAAAGGGUAAAAUUGGCAUUCAUUGAUAUUCACCAACUGCGACUUCGAUUGGCAAUGAUGGAAACAUGAAACUCUGGUUGUUCUCAAUGCCAUCAGGCAAGUUACAGUUAGGAUGUUGGCGUUUUCCAUCUGUUCCGAUUCAGGGCAGGGCGCUAACAUUCAGUUCAUGUUCAUUCAGAGUAUGAAAGAGAGACUGAUGUAAAACAAACACAAAAAGUGAUCACUGGGAAUUCUUCACUGGUGUCCUUGCUGGUUUCCACUUAAGCCUGUUUUCCAGAGUGUUUGUGAUGUCAAACGUGACGCACCAAAAAAACAAACAAGCCAGAUAUAAACAUGUCUUCUGCCAA